ACACACCACCUCUUAGCAGGGUCU
rnacentral:siRNA from 1 species